GAUGAACGCUGGCGGCGUGCCUAAUACAUGCAAGUCGAGCGAACAGACGAGGAGCUUGCUCCUCUGACGUUAGCGGCGGACGGGUGAGUAACACGUGGAUAACCUACCUAUAAGACUGGGAUAACUUCGGGAAACCGGAGCUAAUACCGGAUAAUAUAUUGAACCGCAUGGUUCAAUAGUGAAAGACGGUUUUGCUCUCACUUAUAGAUGGAUCCGCGCCGCAUUAGCUAGUUGGUAAGGUAACGGCUUACCAAGGCAACGAUGCGUAGCCGACCUGAGAGGGUGAUCGGCCACACUGGAACUGAGACACGGUCCAGACUCCUACGGGAGGCAGCAGUAGGGAAUCUUCCGCAAUGGGCGAAAGCCUGACGGAGCAACGCCGCGUGAGUGAUGAAGGUCUUCGGAUCGUAAAACUCUGUUAUUAGGGAAGAACAAAUGUGUAAGUAACUAUGCACGUCUUGACGGUACCUAAUCAGAAAGCCACGGCUAACUACGUG
rnacentral:rRNA from 1 species